rnacentral:rRNA from 1 species
UAGUCCACGCCGUAAACGAUGAGAACUAGAUGUAGUGAGCUUUCGAGCACUUUACACAGGUGCUGCAUGGCCGUCGUCAGCUCGUGUCGUGAGAUGUUUGGUUAAGUCCAGCAACGAGCGCAACCCCUGUGGCUAGUUACUACCAUUUAGUUGAGGACUCUAGUCAGACUGCCCAGAUCAACUGGGAGGAAGGUGGGGAUGACGUCAGGUCAGUAUGGCCCUUACGCCUAGGGCUGCACACGUACUACAAUGCCCAGUACAAUGAGAACCGAUACCGCGAGGUGGAGGAAAUCUACAAAGCUGGGCCCAGUUCGGAUUGGAGGCUGCAACUCGCCUCCAUGAAGUCGGAAUCGCUAGUAACUGGGCACAUCAGCUACGGUGCCGUGAAUACGUUCCCGGGUCUUGUACACACCGCCCGU